ACCAAGUGUGAGAGGGACAGAGAGCUCGAAGUAUCAACGCAAAUUGGUGCGUUGCGAGAUGAAACCUAACAUCGUCCAAGAUGGUUAGUCUAAUAGGCACCCACUUAUGUCAGCAGAAUUCUUUACAGAUAAAUCAGAAGAUGCCCCUGGGUGCCUGGCUGAAGACCGUGAAGCGUUUGCAAGGUGAUCUGAAACAUAGCAUAUGAUUAUAUUAAUGUUAGAACUACAAACAAAAAUGUUUAGUACAAUAUACAUGAUUGGAUCAUACACAAUAAGGCCUAUAUCAUUUAUAACAGAAAAUGAUAGAAGGUAGAGAAAGGAAUGAAUGAAAAAGUAAAAGAAACAGCCUUACCCCAGGUGCCCCUGGCCUAGCUCCAACCAUGUGUGGACCAAUGACUACCCUAGAGGUCACUUG